GCUUGCUGUGGUUGUACUUGGGCUAGAUGUGAUUGUAGUUGUGCCAGAUGUUGUUGUUGUUGGGCUAGCUGUGGUUGUAGUUGGGCUGGAUGUGGUUGUAGUUGGGCUGGAUGUGGUUGUAGUUGGGCUAGAUGUGGUUGUAGUUGGGCUAGAUGUGGUUGUAGUUGGGCUGGAUGUGGUAGUUUUGGGGCUAGAUGUGGUUGUAGUUGGGCUGGAUGUGGUUGUAGUUGGGCUAGAUGUGGUUGUAGUUGGGCUAGAUGUGGUUGUAGUUGGGCUGGAUGUGGUUGUAGUUGGGCUGGAUGUGGUAGUUGUUGGGCUUGUUGUGGUUGUAGUUGGGCUAGAUGUGGUUGUAGUUGGGCUGGAUGUGGUAGUAGUUGGGAUGGAUGUAGUUGUCGUUGGGCUAACUGUGGUGGUAGUUGGGCUAGUUGUGGUUGUAGUUGGGCUGGAUGUAGUAGUUGUUGGGCUAACUGUGGUUGUAGUUGGGCUAGAUGUGGUAGUUGUUGGGCUGGAUGUGGUAGUUGUUGGGCUUGUUGUGGUUGUAGUUGGGUUAGAUGUGGUAGUUGUUGGGCUGGAUGUGGUAGUAGUUUGGCUGGAUGUGGUAGUUGUUGGGCUGGAUGUAGUAGUUGUUGGGCUGGAUGUGGUAGUUGUUGGGCUGGAUGUGGUAGUUGUUGGGCUAGCUGUGGUUGUAGUUGGGCUGGAUGUGGUAGUUGUUGGGCUUGCUGUGGUUGUAGUUGGGCUGGAUGUGGUUGUUGUUGGGUUAGCUGUGGUUGUUGUGGUAGAUGUG
ensembl:lncRNA